rnacentral:rRNA from 1 species
UACGAAGGGGGCUAGCGUUGUUCGGAAUCACUGGGCGUAAAGCGCACGUAGGCGGAUGUGCCAGUCAGGGGUGAAAUCCCGGAGCUCAACUUCGGAACUGCCUCUGAUACAGCACGUCUUGAGUCCGGAAGAGGUGGGUGGAAUUCCUAGUGUAGAGGUGAAAUUCGUAGAUAUUGGGAAGAACACCGAUGGCGAAGGCCGCCAUCUGGACCGACACUGACGCUGAGGCGCGAAAGCGUGGGGAGCAAACAGG